rnacentral:rRNA from 1 species
AGAGUUUGAUCAUGGCUCAGAAUCAACGCUGGCGGCGCGCUUAACACAUGCAAGUCGCACGAGAAAGUGGAGCAAUCCAUGAGUAAAGUGGCGUACGGGUGAGUAACACGUGGGUAAUCUACCUCUUAGUGGGGAAUAACCUGGGGAAACCCGGGCUAAUACCGCAUAAGCUCGAGAGAGGAAAGCAGCAAUGCGCUGAGAGAGGAGCCCGCGGCCGAUUAGCUAGUUGGGAGGGUAAAAGCCUACCAAGGCAAAGAUCGGUAGCCGGCCUGAGAGGGCACACGGCCACACUGGCACUGAAACACGGGCCAGACUCCUACGGGAGGCAGCAGUGGGGAAUCUUGCACAAUGGGGGCAACCCUGAUGCAGCGACGCCGCGUGAGCGAUGAAGCCCUUCGGGGUGUAAAGCUCUUUCGGCAGGGAAGAUGAUGACGGUACCUGCAGAAGCAGCUGCGGCUAACUACGUGCCAGCAGCCGCGGUAAUACGUAGGCAGCAAGCGUUGUUCGGAAUUACUGGGCGUAAAGGGUGUGUAGGCGGUUCUUUAAGUUUGGUGUGAAAUCUCCCGGCUCAACCGGGAGGGUGCGCCGAAUACUGAGGGACUCGAGUGCGGGAGAGGAAAGUGGAAUUCCUGGUGUAGCGGUGAAAUGCGUAGAUAUCAGGAGGAACACCGGUGGUGUAGACGGCUUUCUGGACCGUAACUGACGCUGAGACACGAAAGCGUGGGUAGCAAACAGGAUUAGAUACCCUAGUAGUCC